ACAUUCUAUUCCUUCUAGAGGGUCACUUACUCCCCUAGAUUCUAUUUCCUUUUCCUGACUCCUGCAAAUACUAUCUCCAUUUAUUUUAUCAAACCCAGCUUCAACUAACUCUGUAGAGAUCAAACUAAUUGGCAUGGAUGGCAGCAGGACACGAUGAGCCAGAUAAGUGGUUCUCCAAGAAUGAUCCCCAGACUAGCUGCAUGAGCAUCAGCUGUCAUGCAGAAAUUAAGAUUCUCAUUCCAAAGGAGUCCUACCUCAUACCUGGAAGGAAGAAAUGCUACAACAGAGAGGCCAAGAAGAAUCUCAACAGACAAGCCUUGCUAGUUUUCCUCACUUAGGCCACUAUCAUUAGAGCACUCUGUUUUCAUUCAAGCACAAUUCUAUCACUGCCCAUUCUUCAUUAAACCUAAGCAUAAAAAUGCAGUUUUCCCCUGUAUCGUCAGGACUUCAUUCAGAAAGGCUCCUGUGUCAUCUUAAUCUUUAAUUAAAUAAAUCUGUAAUGCUUUUCUCUUGUUAA